ACAAUAUGCUUGGCUUUUAGAAUGACAAUAUUGUUCCGGAAUUUUUAGCUGGCACUCAGAUUUCUGUCUGCCUCUCAUUGGCAAACAUGACAUUUCAGCAAUUUCUCUAAAGAGGAAUGACUGGGGGGUAUGUACAGCAGGCAUCAUGUAAGAAAAACUCACACCUCACGACAUAUUUGUUUGAUUUAUUCAGCAGACUUCAGCAAAGGAAAGAUGUGAAAGCAACCCUUGAUUGUUGAUUUUUUGUUCAUUCUGAAAAUCACAUCGCCAGAUCCAACACCUUUUUAUCCCAAUCACCAGUACAAGCCACCCGUAUCAGUGUACACUGUGGCUGACCGAUCCAUAGUGAUGCUUUGAGACUUUGGUGAAAAGUGAGGCUCUCCUGGGUUCCAGCCGUGGUCUUUUCACUUGCUAGCUUUGUGACUCUGAGCUCUCUGGACUUCAGUUUCUUCUGUAAUAAAAUUGUGAAAAUAGUACUCUUGUAAAAAUCAGUUCUAUGAAGUGAACAGGCAUCCAACAAGGCUGAUGGCACAGAAGAUGGUCCUAAGACAGACAAGCAAACAAAACUUGCCUUCUCUGUGGAAGCACUUCCUGACUUCGCUUCCCCAACAACACAAGGAAGGACUUUCUGGAAUCUACUUAUCUGACCAAGAAAGCUUCUUUCCAAAAGAAAUGCAAUUGUCUUGAGACUUCUUCCCUAGGGAUCUGAUCAACUAACCAGAAAAGAGCAACCACCAGAGAAGAGACUGUGGGUGUCAUUGUGACUGGCUGCUACCUCCCCAUGAGUCUUCUAAAAUAAAACCUGCAAAUUCACAUCUUCCCCAUGCUUCCAGAGAAUGCAUAUUCUUCCUUUGAAAAAAGAAAACCAGGUAGUCGUACAGUGUCCAGAAGGCAAAAGGACAAGUAUGCACUGCCCUACUUACCUACUUUCCACACUGCUGCACAGGAAAAUCUGACAGAGGACAAUAACAAACAUCUCACCAGCUCAUGCGUUCUUUUUUGAUCCUAAUUCCGAGAGACUCACCAAAGACAUGAAGAGAAAACAAACAAUACUUUUCUUGGAAAUAUUGUAAUUGCUGGUACAUUUGUUGUUCUGGCAUAAAGUAGAAAUUGUCAGUUACCAGAACAAUACUCAGUGAACUUAUGAAUAUAUGGUAAAUAUUAAACACAUCCCACUUGGAUGAGAAGAUAUGUGAGUCGAUGAGUAUAGCUAAGUCUAAAGUUAGAUGUGUUCCAUAAACAUAGUGUUUAUGGAGUUGGUGCAUAUUCACUUCUCAGUAAGUUACACUUUCUUAAUUUCUUUUUGGUGCUAGGUGAUAUUCUGCUAAGUACACAUAAGUAUAGUAAUAUUGGUUAGUAAACUAGUAAAAUGCUCCCCUAGCUAUUAGUAAAUAGCUUCUGCCUUGUGUCUCCAAAAUAUCUCUACCAUUAUCCUGAUCUUGAUUGCUAUUUUAUAUUAAAAGAAGACAUGUGAAUGUAUAUGAACAUUUAAAAAAAUUGUUAUUUCUUAUUUACCUUUAAAAAUACAGUGUGCUGUACUAGUACUACUACUAAUAAAUAGCAUCAUUGACUCAUAGAUCACUUACUAUCAGCCAGGCAGUCCUAAGUAUUCCACUUACAUUAACUCACUUAAUGCAUGCAACAAUGCUAUGAGGCACUAUUUUUAUCAUUUGCAUAUUUACAUAUAAGGAAACAGAGACACUAAUAUUAAGUAGUAAGAGACAUAAAUGGGAGUCGAAGUUCCAUAGUCUAUUAAUAGUUUUGGAGUUCAGGAUAGUCUCUAUUACUCUAACCUACCUCAUUAAGCAGCAUCCUUGACUAUUCUAGGUAAAGAGUAUUGUAUUCUUUUCUAAGAUAAAAACAUGACUUGCUACUAUAUUUGUUUGGAUUCAGCUUUACUGGAACACAGCUUAGCUUUGACAUUUACAGACAUGGGUUAGGUUUCAUUUUGUUGCAAGAUAAAAGGCAAUCUGAUAUUUAGUUUACCUGCAAAAGGCAGUUAGGAAGCCCUAGAGGAACCUAAUUAAAAUGCAGCACAUUUCCAAGGCACCAUAUCUUGCUGUGUUGCCAUAGAAACAACGAGGAUUUCUGGUCACUGACCUUCCAGGGAAUCUGAGGAUGUAUUUUCAUAAGGUUCAUAAGAGAAGCCAUCCUAGUAUGUUAACCUAUAGUUGCAGAUCAACUAUACGUUAUGGAAAUUCCCUAUGCAAUUCUAGCCAAUUUUAAAACCAAAUUAUACUAGCAAAACUUACUAGAGGCUCAAACUAAGGGCUCUUUGAAGGAAUGUGGUUUAACUGCUUCCAAUAUAAGAUUUCAAAUAAUUAAGGAUACUGUAGUAGCAGCAAAAACAUUAAAGAAAAGCUUAGGUAAUUACACAAAGAACAUUGGAACUAAAAUCAUAUUUAGGAAUAGUUUCAAUGUUAUAUCUAUUCUAUUGCAUUUUGGGUUCUUCAAUUCUAGGCUUACUCAAAGGAUAAAACGAACAUUACUGCAUCAAUCAACUACACCUAGAAAAUCAAACUUUAUUAUACAAUAUUAAGUUGCUAAUAUUAUUUAUACCUAUAGAUUCUUAAUUCAUGCCCUUUACUAUCUAUUUAUAAAUUCAUUCAUUCCAUUACUAAAUAUGUAUAAUUGACAAUCCCAGUUAUACCUUAAUUUAUAUUUUUUUGUCUAUUUGACAUAAGCCAAGUACCCAUGCCAUGAUUCAACACAGAAAAUUACAAAGCCCACCUUACUGUAGACUGCUGCUCUUAUUGCAUCAACAUUCGUAUCUUCCACGGAAAAUAAUUAACUUAGUUCUAUAAUCAGGAUAUGCCCGGUUUAUUUACAAGGAAAUACCUAUCAGGUGCUAAUUUCUCUUAGAAUUAGAAAUCUUGGCCAGGCAUGGUGGCUCACACCUGUAAUCCCAGCACUUUGGGAGGCCGAGGUAGGUGGAUUA
rnacentral:lncRNA from 1 species